UGGAUUUGACUCGCCAUGCACACAUUCCUCUUUGACUACACUAGAUGAUUGUAUGGGUUCUCGUGGACACAAAAAUAAUAUUGCUAAUAAUAAUAAUGACAAUAACUAUUGAAGAGCACGUUUCUUAUUUGCCAUGUUUGUCUGUAACCCUAUGUACUCUUCACUUAUAUUCUGUGUUAUGAAACAUUUAAACGGUGCUGCUACAUUCAUGAGAUGCUCUACAAAUACAGACUGAUGUCAUUUUCACUUGGGGCUUGUGCAAAUGAAGAUUAUAUGGAUUAUUAUGGAUUUUUGCAAAAUAUGUCAGGGUUUAUUGGUAAAGAGGUCAGUAAAGAGGGUGUGCUUAUGUAACUGGUGAUGAGUUUUUAUUGAGAAAUAAUUGGGAUUCAAGCAGUUCCUGUUUUUACUCACUAUCUCCCCAGCCUUAGAAAAAAAAACCUGUUCACACGGCACAGAUGAAAUGUUUGGCUCCAUUGUACAAGUUAGGGUAAACGGUUUUGUGGGUGGCCCAGUAAGCCCGUGGGUCUGCCGUUCUUUCUACAAUUGCAUUCGCUGUGUCACUUUGCAUUUGCCAGGCUCUACUUGCGUCUUCGUCCAAUAGGUAGUGAUGGCUGAUCGAGGCUUUGUUGAAGCUUCGACACUUCAUUCAAAACACGGUUCAUUACUCGAGACCUCAGGGCUUUCGACCAAAGAGCACCAGGUGCUUGGUUGGUUCAAAGUUGAGAGCCAGUGCUUUUUUGGUUCAAAUCUCAUGCCGCCCCAGAACGGGUUUGUGUUUCCAUUCAGAAGGAGCAAAGUUGGAGCUGCGUCAUUGCGCCACCACAAAACGUGUGUACGUCACUGCGUACGUAGCCGUUCAACAGCGUUCACGCCGUACGGAAACCUACACAACAACAAUGGAGGACUUCAUUGGAGUGGUGUUCAUGGCUUUGCUAGUGUGUCUCGCCAUUGCUGAACAGCAAAACCUUCUGUUAGGGGUUACCCAUCGGCGUCGCCGUUCCAAUGCCCAGCGAUCACGUUUGAGAAGAAAGAUGUUUUUAGAUGUCACCCCGCCCUCUGCCCGUGAUGUGCUCGGCUCUCAACUCUGGCCACCUCUGGCCCAGCAACGAGUUGGUGCCCGAAACGGCCCCAGAGUUUGGAGCCCGGAGCCGCAGCUCCGGUGGUCGAAACACAAAAAAGCGGCGCCAAGUCGGGCGCCGGCUCCAACUCCGAACGGGCUCCACCCCGGUCGAAAAGAGGGACACACAGCUCGAGUAGGACAUCUAGUGGUCAGUAAAAUGAAGUGCAAUCAAGACGUGGUCAUUGGUUGAUGGAUUGUUUUGGAUAGGAUUCGCCAUGCACACAUUCACACAGGAAUUGAGGAAAUGAAGCAGCGACUCACCCUCGUUCUCUGUCUUUUCUCCAUGCUGAGGCUCAUGUCUCUGAAUGCAUGUGGACUCCACACAGAGACCAAAAGAACAGGUGUUUUCAGGGAGGAGAAAAGUAAAGGUGAUGUGUUUACAGGAGACCAAGUGGGACGAGAAAAUUGUGGAUGAAAUUCAGAAGGAGUGGAGGGGAGGAUGUUUUGUCUCUAACGGUACACCGGCGGCACAGGGCGAAGCAGUGCUGGUUCCAGAGGAAUUCAUGGAAACUGUGAAAAUAAUAGGUAAAGAUCAGGAUGGUAGACUAAUUAUAACUGAAUUUAAAUAUAAUAACGAAACAUGCAGGGUCAUAAAUGUGCAUUUAGAUCAUUUUGUGGAUCAUUGUGGACAUUUUGCAUCUGUUUAAGGUUUUUCUGUUCAAUUUGCUAUUCUUAAUGUAUUUUGUGUGUUUACAGCUAAGAAGGGUCAACCUAACAGGCUCCCUUGGUUAAUGAUUGGAUCGACAUAUACAAAAUGGAAAGAUUGACAUAUUAUCUCAAACUCCGUCAAGACGCGUUUGCCAAUAUAUGGUCUAAGUGGACUGUACAUAUAGCUCCCAGAAGAGCAGAAUUUAUAUGAUACAUACCAUGUUUUUAACUCAAAUAUUUACCUUCCUCCCAGUUCUAUGAUAUAUAUGUAGUUCUGUUGGUACCAGACAGAAUCUUUAAUGAAAGAUAAGACACAAGUUAACACAUAUUUAAACAUUUAUCCUUUCUCUCCUUCUCCUACUUCUGAUUCUGCAUAUGAAAGAUAAUAAGGAGGAAAACUUUAGUGGGAUAUUUCUGUUAUCAUUUAAGCUUAUUUCUGGAUUUUUAAAAAAAAUGUAUUUCUCUUUCCCUCAGUCUGCCUAAUUCUUUUCCUUCAAGAAUACCCUCGUGACUUGUGUAUUUACACUUGUGACAUGGUUGGAAUGUGCUCUGUAAACCUCUGGAUACCAAUAAAUAAUAAAUUACAAAAAAAAAAGAAGGGUCAACCUAACUUCAGUAAGGGGGAUGUGGUGUUAUCCAGAAUCUGCCACUAGAGGGCAGACCAUGCAUCGAUAUUUUCUGAGUACUGCAUGAGAAGAGACUACUGAGAAGAACUGCAUUGUUGUUGCAGCCAGUUAAUAAAGAGGCUCAGUGAUUACUCAAAGCAGCAAUCUGUAUUUGCAAAAGAACCCAAUACAACAGCUGCUGCUCAUUCAUUGGACACAGCAUCAGGAAACGAUUUCAAGCAGAAGAUCCACCACUGGCUGUCAACUAAAACCUCUCUGGGUUUUGAAAAUCCAACAAGUGAACUGAUUCUGCCUCCACGUUUUCUGUUUGUUGGUUCCUCCUCCGACCAGCAGGCGGCGCCUCCUGCUUUGGAUUGAGGCUGUUUGUGAGGAAGUUGAGGUGGAUCAGCCGCAGCUGAUUCUGGUUUGUUGUUGUUCCUGUUGUGGCUGUACAGUAACUCCAGAUACAGGAUGCAGGACAGUGAAUCCAGUGUCUCAUGUGGCCCUGCAGCUUCUCCUCCUCCACCUCCUCCUGAAGCCUUCAUCUUCUUCAUCAUCAGCUGCUCAGUGACUCUGUUGGACGUCUCACCGUGUGGCAGCAGCUCAGGAGUUUGCAGUCAACCAAGGCCGACUCAGAAUCACUCCCACCGGGAAGAUCUGUGAAGGAAGGUCCACCCGGCUGGUCCAGAAGCUCCGGUCCAGCAGAGCAGCGUCAGGAUGGAGACGUAACCGGGAGUUUGCAGUCAACCAAGGCCGACUCAGAAUCACUCCCACCGGGAAGAUCUGUGAAGGAAGGUCCACCCGGCUGGUCCAGAAGCUCCGGUCCAGCAGAGCAGCGUCAGGAUGGAGACGUAACCGGUGUUGAUGUCACCGCCUUGACGAAUAGAAGAAAAGCCUGUAUUUGGGUAUGAAGGGCUGGUAGUCCAGAGGUAGUGAUGCUGGUUUGGAACCUGGAGAGUGCAGGUUCGAUUCCCGACCCUGCUCAAGCUUUUUUUUCACAUUUGGGCAAAAUUUGCCAAAAAUCUUCUUGAAAGACAUUGGAAGGAAAGUUGCCUUAUUGCCUUAUUGCCUUAUUGCCUUAUUGCCUUAUUGCCUUAUUGCCUUAUUGCCUUAUUGCCUUAUUGCCUUAUUGCCUUAUUGCCUUAUUGCCUUAUUGCCUUAUUGCCUUAUUGCCUUAUU